GGAUCUGCCACUUUCUUGAUAAAAUUUGACUCCAUGCUAAUUUCUGCCCUCUCACAACCCUAAUCAAGCCCAUGGGAAAUCCAAGCCAUACUUAAAGAAAUCCUGGACCAAAUGGAGCUUUUUACACAAGUUCAAAUUUGAUGGGCUAGUAGGAAUGCUAAUUCAACAACAGCAGAUUGUUUAGCUAAACUUUAUUUUAAUGAUGCACUUUCCUGCAAUUGGUUAAUAAUGACUCUAAUGAAUUUGCACUUUAUUUUGUGAGAAAUUAUAUUAUAAAUUAGUGAUUCUACGAAAGUAGUCCUAUAUGGAAUGGCAAACCAAAUUAACGACUCUAAUGUUUUAAAAAUGCUCUUCCCCCUUCUUUUCCAUUUACGUCUCAAUCUCAAGGUUCGUUCUUGAUUUUAGAUUCUCAAGAUAGGGUUUUCUUUGGAUUGAAUUAUUCUCUUUCAAUUUUGGUUUGGAACUCUUUGCCCUAGUAAUUUUCUAAUUCUUUUUGCUUCUCACCUGCUGGAAAGUGAUAGUGAAUAUUAUUGUUUCUCAAUUUCUUUUUUGGUGUUAUAAAUUUCUAGUCUUUUCUCCAUAUCGAGUUAAGAGCUUCUAAUGAAUUGAAGACUUUUUACAGUGUGAAGUUUGUAACUCUCAUAAAGGACUUGUGCCAUUAGAUCUGUGCUUGUUGUAAGGCUUUCCUUGUUAUGGGUGUUAUUGUGAAACUUCUUUAUUGGAGCUAUCUUAUCCUGAAUGCACACCAAGUGUUUGAUCAAAGUCCUAAGUGAUUCUGAAUGACUCUAACAGGUAGACUCUACUUUUGUAAUUGCUAGACUCUUGUGUUGUUGUGUUUCACUAUGAAGAUUCUAGUUGGACUUGCCAAUGCUUGAGCAAUCCACUUACUUUUAACCAUCUUAAAGGUAUGUCCCAGCAACAUUCUCCUACUUUUCUCUAUAUAAUGGAGAAAAAAAAAAGGAACAAAACAAGCUUUAUGAAGAAAAAACUAAGUAGAAUAGGUUUUUAACAUAUGCAUUUAAUUGAUCAUUGUGGCAUAUUUGCAGGGUUUGGGUUUGGCUUGGGAUGAUCAACGUCAUGUUCUUGUAGUGCAUUCCACAAUCUUUUUCUUUUGCUGUCGCAUUUUUAAACCAUAUCCCCAGAAAAUUUGGGAUAUCAUAUUCUUAUCGCUAGUUGUGAGGAUAACAUUCACAAGACUUAAUUCAAUAACUGUUGCAGUAUAAAUCUUUUGUGCAUAUGGAUUGUAUUGGGGUAAGGGACUUUGGGGAUGAAUGGGGCUUAGUAGAUAUUGGUUUUCUAGGGCCUUCUACUACUUAAAACAAUAAGAGAGAUGAUAUAGAUAAUAUCCAAGAACAAUUGGAUAGAUGCUUAGCUACUUAUCAUGGCUCCUAUCUUUUCCUACAGUUACUGUUACCCAUUUGGAAGAUCAGGGAUUAGACCACAACCAUUGUUAAUCACCACUUCUCCUUACAGGCUAAAAUCCAAAGUUGAUAAAC
rnacentral:misc_RNA from 1 species